CUUCCAUAAUUUUUUAAUACUAUUAUUUACAAUGAACCCUUUAUUUUUACUGAAUAUUUCUAUAAAGUUAUAGAACCUUUUAUGUUGAAACUAGUAACAAGAAGUUAAACUUCUCCUCAAUAUAAGUAUAAGUCGACUAGGAUAAACCAUCGACAAUUAACGCUUAAAUUAAAUGUAUUAACUCCACAAGAAAAACUUACAUUACCCCACGUUAAUCUUACACGAGAACAUUUAAGGAAAGAUUUAAAAAAAAGGAAGGAACUCGGCAAACAUUAACCCCGCCUGUUUACCAAAAACAUCGCCUUCUGAUAUAUUAUAGAAGGUCCAGCCUGCCCAGUGAAUUAAUUUAACGGCCGCGGUAUCCUAACCGUGCGAAGGUAGCGUAAUCACUUGUUCUUUAAAUGAGGACUAGUAUGAAUGGCACCACGAAGGUUAUACUGUCUCCCUUUUUUGAUCAGUUAAACUAAUCUUCACGUGAAGAAGCGUGAAUAAACAUAUAAGACGAGAAGACCCUAUGGAGCUUAAAAUUACACAACAAUUGUUAAAAAAAAUCCUAAAUUUUAUAAAUAAUUUUUUACUAAACACCAUGAUUGCUAAUUUUUGGUUGGGGUGACCGCGGAGUAAAAAUUAACCUCCACAAUGAAAGAAAUCAAUAUUCUAAACUAAGAGCUACAACUCAAAGUAUUAAUAUUUUAACAUUCUUUGAUCCAAUAUUUGAUCAACGAACAAAGUUACCCUAGGGAUAACAGCGCAAUCUACUUUGAGAGCUCCUAUCGACAAGUAGGUUUACGACCUCGAUGUUGGAUCAGGGUAUCCUAGUGGUGCAGCCGCUACUAAUGGUUCG
rnacentral:rRNA from 1 species